rnacentral:sRNA from 1 species
GCAAGGCCAUUGUUUAAAAUGUUUUAACUUGUGGGAAGACACAGCUUGGAGAUGGCCUUGGAGCAGGGC